UGUGUAACGACUACUGAUCUGUUUUUCAUUUCCAGUACACCUCUGUGGACGGAGACCCUCGAGGGGAGGAUUAUCAUCAUAAUUCCAUCAUCGCUAGCUGGGACAGUCUGACAGAGGUGGAAGGAAGUAAUUCUUCUGUGGUGGCGAUCUGCGCCACCACCACCUGAUCAACGCACCAUACAGCCCCCUGAGAUGACGAAAUGAAGGCGGGUGUCUCUGCUGUCCAUGAGACCAGCUUCAUCAAAUCCUAUCAUGUGAAACAUGAAAACUAAGAGGUUUGAUUUAGGAACAUUUAUGUUUGGUAGAAUAU